CCUACGGGAGGCAGCAGUGAGGAAUAUUGGACAAUGGGCGCAAGCCUGAUCCAGCCAUGCCGCGUGCAGGAUGACGGUCCUAUGGAUUGUAAACUGCUUUUAUACAGGAAGAAACACCUCUACGUGUAGAGACUUGACGGUACUGUAAGAAUAAGGAUCGGCUAACUCCGUGCCAGCAGCCGCGGUAAUACGGAGGAUCCAAGCGUUAUCCGGGAAUCAUUGGGUUUAAAGGGUCCGUAGGCGGUUUAGUAAGUCAGUGGUGAAAGCCCAUCGCUCAACGGUGGAACGGCCAUUGAUACUGCUAGACUUGAAUUAUUAGGAAGUAACUAGAAUAUGUAGUGUAGCGGUGAAAUGCUUAGAGAUUACAUGGAAUACCAAUUGCGAAGGCAGGUUACUACUAAUUGAUUGACGCUGAUGGACGAAAGCGUGGGUAGACGACGAGAGUAGUAUACCUACGUAGUACGACGACCGUAACGACGUAGAGUACUAGUCUGUUGGGUAGGCGA
rnacentral:rRNA from 1 species